CAUUAUUAUUGCUCUUCUUGGAAAAAUAACUGCGACGUCCCAACUUUUCAGAAGGUCAUCAAUUCUAUAACUAUUUCUGUCCUAACACGCUCCCCGACUUUCUAGAAUGUUACCCAUCCUAGAAUUACUCAUGUCUUAACACGCUUAACUCUCUCAACCUCUUAAGUCUAGAUACCGUCCAAAAUAUUUUAGCCGGAUUGAAAAUUUAGUCCUAUUAUAUCUCAUAUAGAGAACUAUCUGGAGUCUCACAAUAGCUUUGUGACAAGAAGUGGGGCCUA
rnacentral:lncRNA from 1 species